rnacentral:piRNA from 1 species
UCCUAGAUGACCACUUCUCACCCAAGAUCCC